AAAGUGAUGUAGUAGUUGCACGAUCAUCUGGUUGCUGUAAUAGUGUGCCCUAAAAAGAAACAAUAAAGGCUGAGAGGACUAAGAUUUUGCAAACUGCUUUUCAUAAUUAUUUGAAGUAAUACAGCCAAACCAAAAAACAAAAAGAAAGACCAUAUUUUAGAAGGCCUGUUAUAUAUCCUUUUUAAAGCAACUCACCAGCAUCCAGAAGUUUCCUCACACGCAAAUAACUGAUGGUAAGCCUCAUAAC